CCAUUUUUGGAAAAUAUUUUGUGGCUAACCAAUAAUCAUCCAAACCUGACACCUUAACUUGAUGAAUACAGGUACAGAAGUUGAUGGGAAUGAAAACUUGGAAAAGAUAUUAAUUCAACCUUUGAGUACUGUCCACGGUGCUGAAGACAAUCUUAAACAAGUCUGCCAUGAGGUCAAGGAUUUUUGUGGCUCAGCAUCAGGACAGAAGAAGCCUAGCUCCUUGACAGUGUGCAG